UUCCCCCCAUAUUGUUGCCCACUUUUAGUAGAGUAUUUCCUUCCUACUCCAAAAAAGUAAAAGAAUUCUCUCCUUCAUAAGAUCUCCAGUUUAGGGUUUCUACACCUUCUCACAAGGUCGACAAAAUCUGAAAUCUCUGCACCUUAUAGACAUAUCUAUCGAUUCUACUUCUCCUUGGAACAACUUUUCGACUAUUAAGUUGUAGGAUUGUUCGCUUCUCUCUGCGGUUUCUUCAUAAGGCCAUGUGUUCUUUAAAUUCUCACAAUAGAAAGAAGCAGAAGUGGAGACAUCUAAUGGGACCUGUUAAUUUUGGAAGAGUGCGCAUCAUUGCGUGCAACGAAAGAGAACAAUGAGGAACUAUCAAAGUCAGAAAUAUUUAUUGCAACUCGCACACAGGAAAGAAAGCAAGUUGAUCCAGACACCGAAAAUGCAAUAUAUGAACUUCAAAAUCGUCAACACACUGGAGAAACUGCGGAGGACUCAUUUAAGGAAGUGUUCGGAAAGGAGUAGCAUGGUCGAGUUUGAUGUUACGGUAGGUCCGUGACAACAAGUUCUUUGAAAAAGGAUGAGGAAAUCUUCAAAUUAAAUAGAAGCAUGCUGAUGAAAUCACUUCUUUGAAAGAAGAAGUAAAAGAACUGAAAGUAUUGAAGGAAGAAGUGCAGGAAUUACAACAACUGCGACAUCUUAUGAAAGUGUUGGUGGAAAACAACCCUGGUCUGAACCUUCAGGAUGUAGCAGGCUGUGUUGGGUAUAACCUAUCGUCCUAUCGUCUCUGAUUGAUGCGAGUAGUGCAUGAGUUGUCAAAGGACAAAAUCUUUCACAUUCCUCUGGAUCAACUCAUAGUCCGAUUCUUGAAAAGGAAAAUUACGGUGAUGCAAUUGGAAAUGGCGGCCGAAAGUCAAUUUGAUCUAUUUGAAGUCAAUCAAAGACAUGCUUUUGACAAUUAUGUAUAUUAUUCAUGAUACUAUAUGAAUACAUUCAGUUUUGUAAAGUUCAUUGCUAGCACACAACUUGAAGCAAUUUGCUUUAUUAUAAUUAGUUAAUGAAAUA